GACGAACGCUGGCGGCGUGCUUAACACAUGCAAGUCGAACGGCAAGGCCCUGCUUUUGUGGUGUGCUCGAGUGGCGAACGGGUGAGUAACACGUGAGUAACCUGCCCUUGACUUUGGGAUAACUUCAGGAAACUGGGGCUAAUACCGGAUAGGAUCUCCUGCUCCAUGGUGGGGGUUGGAAAGUUUCGGCGGUUGGGGAUGGACUCGCGGCUGAUCAGCUUGUUGGUGGGGUAGUGGCUUGCCCAGGCUUUGACGGGUAGCCGGCCUGAGAGGGUGACCGGCCACAUUGGGACUGAGAUACGGCCCAGACGCCUACGGGAGGCAGCAGUGGGGAAUAUUGCACAAUGGGCGGAAGCCUGAUGCAGCAACGCCGCGUGCGGGAUGACGGCCUUCGGGUUGUAAACCGCUUUCGCCUGUGACGAAGCGUGAGUGACGGUAAUGGGUAAAGAAGCACCGGCUAACUACGUG
rnacentral:rRNA from 1 species